rnacentral:rRNA from 1 species
GACAGAGGCCUCAAGCGUUAGGCGGAAUCACUGGGCUUAAAGCGCGUGUAGGCGGGGUGGCACGUCCGUCGCUGAAAUCCCCCGGCUUAACCGGGGAACUGGCGGAGAUACGACCGUCCUGGAGGGGCGUAGGGGGACCUGGAACUUCCGGUGGAGCGGUGAAAUGCGUUGAGAUCGGAAGGAACGCCCGUGGCGAAAGCGAGGUCCUGGACGCCUACUGACGCUGAGACGCGAAAGCCAGGGGAGCGAACGGG